CUCCAGACACCAGCGACUUAAUACAGACUAUCCGCUCCCACUUGAGACAUUCACACAGACGCAACACAACAUUCACGCAGACGGAUAAACACUAACCCAAAGUCUGACCCUCCUUCUCUCCACCCGAAAGGGGAGGAGGGAGUGGGGGGAAGAAGAAAAAAUGAAGAAUUAAAAACACAUUCCAGUUCCCGUAAAGCUGGGAGAAGGAGCGGUGAGUCACUGGAGCAGUUUGAAACUGGCCCUUUCUAGUUUGAGACACGAUGUGUUUGAACGUCUACGCAUGGAGCUUUUGACCUCCAUGGGUCCUUCACCAAUGUGGUGUAUGCUGCCUUUCUUCAUCGAUCCCUCCGACUAUUUGUUCAGCCGCUACUAAAGUGACUCAUUGAUCAACUAGUCAAAAAGUGAUCGGUCUCAUCAACUGCAGACAGAGGCCCCCCAAAACAGACUGAGACCCUGAAAUGAUGCUGGUUUUCCGGUUGAUUCACCGGCAGCAUCUUGAGUCACAGCCAUUGGGUCCGACUCCAAUCGCGCAGCUGCUGCCAGCUUAAUUGACUCCAGCGAGGAAUCGUCUAUUUUAUCUGUUCUCUUAAUUCUCCUGCUGACGGGACCGACUCACAUGCUGACGUUCAGGUGGACCCGCUAUCAUUGGAAUCUGUUCAAGCUCAAUGGGUGGCCUGAUUAACGGAACAUGGUUUAGACCAGCUGGCUCACGGCUUCUUCAUUUCUGCUGUUUUUGUUGUUGUCAUUUUUUUUGUCUUUUAUUUCUUCAAUUUACAAUCCUUAUUUUUUAUUUGUAUGCUAAAAGAUAACCAAACCCUGGAGGGCCUCAACCCUCGAGCCAAGUGACGUCUACCGUCGGCUAAUUUUGUGAAACCAGUGGAACAUUAUCAGGACAUUCCUCUCCGUUCCCUGGAAGUACACAUGACAACGUCUGCUGAAUCGGCGUAAAGGAUUGAUGGUCUGGCACUAGCACUGUGCUUCCCCAUACUGUGACACGAAUGAAUGGAUGAAUAUCAUUUAGGGGCCUGCUAGCUGGCUCAUUCCGCCAUGUUGUCAUGCUACUAUACGGAAUAUAAAAAUCACCAAUGUGAAAUGCUUGGCUUGUUCUACUUUACUUCAAGAUGUAGACAUUAUACGUUUUUAAUUGACAUACUAAUCGCCAGCACUAAUGCUAAUCAUGUUAAUCUGUUGCCCGUAUAUUUUGAAUCCAUAAUUUUGAAACCCAAAGCCAAUUUCUUCCUACUGAAGACAUCUGUCAAACAGCUCAGGUCUAUAUAUUUUCAUUUUUAUAAAAUUGAAAUGUAAAAGUCUAUUUUUAGGGACUACUUUUAAGCAGCAAAUUGAUUUACAUUUGAUUUCCGGCGAGUAAUUUAGAAAGACUGUGUGUAUAUAUAUAUAUAACUAUGCCAAUGAGAGAGCAUGUCACACAUAAAGAGCAACAAUGUGGC
ensembl:lncRNA